GGUGGCUCAAUGGUAGAGCUCUUGGCUUGCAUGCAUGAGGCCCUGGGCUCGAUUCCCCAGCACCA
rfam:Dipodomys ordii contig_7843, whole genome shotgun sequence.